GACGUAGGGGACGAGCGUUGUCCGGAUUCAUUGGGCGUAAAGCGCGCGUAGGCGGUUUGGUAAGUCGGAUGUGAAACCAGAGGCUCAACCUCUGGCCUGCAUCCGAUACUGCCCGACUAGAGGUAGGUAGGGGAGAUCGGAAUUCUUGGUGUAGCGGUGAAAUGCGUAGAUAUCAAGAGGAACACCUGAGGUGAAGACGGGUUGCUGGGCUGACACUGACGCUGAGGCGCGAAAGCCAGGGGAGCAAACGGG
rnacentral:rRNA from 1 species